rnacentral:rRNA from 1 species
UACAGAGGGGCAAGCGUUGUUCGGAAUUACUGGGCGUAAAGGGCGCGUAGGCGGCCUGUUAAGUCGAACGUGAAAUCCCCGGCUCAACCCGGGAACUGCGUCCGAUACUGGCAGGCUUGAAUCCGGGAGAGGGAUGCGGAAUUCCAGGUGUAGCGGUGAAAUGCGUAGAUAUCUGGAAGAACACCGGUGGCGAAGGCGGCAUCCUGGACCGGCAUUGACGCUGAGGCGCGAAGCCAGGGAGCAA